rnacentral:rRNA from 1 species
GACGAACGCUGGCGGCGUGCCUAAUACAUGCAAGUAGAACGCUGAAGGAGGAGCUUGCUCUUCUGGAUGAGUUGCGAACGGGUGAGUAACGCGUAGGUAACCUGCCUGGUAGCGGGGGAUAACUAUUGGAAACGAUAGCUAAUACCGCAUAAGAGUAGAUGUUGCAUGACAUUUGCUUAAAAGGUGCAAUUGCAUCACUACCAGAUGGACCUGCGUUGUAUUAGCUAGUUGGUGGGGUAACGGCUCACCAAGGCGACGAUACAUAGCCGACCUGAGAGGGUGAUCGGCCACACUGGGACUGAGACACGGCCCAGACUCCUACGGGAGGCAGCAGUAGGGAAUCUUCGGCAAUGGACGGAAGUCUGACCGAGCAACGCCGCGUGAGUGAAGAAGGUUUUCGGAUCGUAAAGCUCUGUUGUAAGAGAAGAACGAGUGUGAGAGUGGAAAGUUCACACUGUGACGUAUCUACCAGAAAGGACG